ACAUGAGAAACGUCAUUGUUGAACCAGAUAAUAAUUUUGAAUAGUUUCAAAAAUAUAUUUCUUCAACUAUUUGUACUUACUGAUGUGACAACUAUAGAAUGAUACACAUAAAUUUAAAGUUUAUUAUUACCAUUUUCUCUGUUACUUAAAAAAAGUCUAGACAAUCAACAAGGACAUCUAUAUCUUUAGUACAGAGUGGUGGUAGUGUAUGUAUAAAGGUUAGAGUAUCUGCCUUCCCAAAUUUGAGAUCACCAUUUUGGGAUGAAUCACCCAGAAUAGAAAGCUAGUUAUAUAACAUAUAUCCUGGAUCUUCUAAAGGAUUGAGAAGAAGAUACACAAUGGUCAGUGCUUUGAAAUUUGCUCUUGCCAUAUUCUAUUCUUUGCUUGGACAAAUGGAUUUACUAAGUUGUAGCCCAAACAUGCCUGACUUGAAUUAAAAGGACUAGAAUUCCUGGGAGUUCCUGUUGUGGCCCAGUAGAAAUGAAUCUGGCUAGUAUCCAUGAGGAUAGGGAUUCAAUCCAUGGCCUCAUUCAGUUGGUUGUAGGUACGGCAUUGCCGUGAGCUGUGGUGUAGGUCCCAGACAUGGCUUGGAUCCCAUGUUGCUGUGGCUGUGGUGUAGCCUGGCAGCUGAAGCUCUGAUUUGACCCCUAGCCCGGGAACUUCAAUGAGGAUCUAGCAUAAUAAGAUUAAUUUAAACUGAUGAAAUUAAGAAAGCAAAUUUCCUUCCUUUCCUAUGAGCUAAUUGUCUUUACAUUAUAGAAACAGCUAGACUACCCACUCUAGUUUCCAUCACUCUAAUUUUUUGUCUAUUUUAUUUUAUCUUAUAGCUAUGUACUUUUGGAAGCUCUUUUAAAUCUUUUUGGUUUCUGGAAAAGAUACAUAAAUCAGUGAAUUACUGGGUAGGUAAAUUGACUAAGUAGAGUCAAUGUUUCUUAAUUCUGGUGUGGAUUAAGAAAUUUGGUCUAUAAUGGAGGAAUUAUCUUUAAUGGCCUGCCUUCUUAAUAGAGGAUUGCUUCUAGAUUAAAUGCAGCAGGCAAAAUUAUUUCAGAUUAUAUCUUAAAGGGUGGGUGACCCUGGGAUGAAGAUACAUGAAGCAAUCUUUGCUUACUAGGUAAGUCAUUUAGAAAACAAUUUUGUAAAUUUAGCUUAUAAUAUAUGAUAUUGGUCUUCUCUAUAAGUAUUUUCAAAUCUCAGAUUGAAAAAUCAUGGGAAUUUAUAGUAUUUUUCAAAUUAUAAAAAUUAUUUCUUUAAAGAUUGUUUAUUAAUAGGCCAGAGUUUGAGUUUAUCUGUGAAUUUGGUAGUAGUAGUAGUAGUGACGAACGAGCAGGUGAUGGAAACAUAUAUUUUUCCCUUCCUCUCUUUGGAUAUGUGUGUGGAAUAUUUUUGUCUUCCAAUCAGAUUGUUCAUUAUGCUCCCUUUGGAAGUGUGUAUUGUUUGGCCUUCCAGCCUUACAUGCUCAUUCAAAGGCAUUCCAAGUCAUUAUGCUGGACUUCAGCCUUGUUCAGUAAAAAGGCCAUUUCCUCCAUCAGCUGUCCACUUGGACAUACAUUCUUUUUACUCUCAAAAAGACUUUAUGUGCAUUCAGAGAAUAUUAGAUGGAUUUGUCAAAUUCCUCACAGAUAAUCAGUUUUUUAAAGUUAUAAUUUGAGCUAUGACCUCUCAAACUGUGAAUUAUAAGGUUUGACAUUUUGGUUCACUGUUUGACACAUCAGCCAUUAAUUAUAGUUUUUAAAGGACAUUUUAUUUCGGUUAGAAUUUAUGUUAUGAAAAUAGUUUAAGUAUUUUUCCUUUAACUUUCAGGAAUAAAUGUACAUAUGUAAUAUGUACAUUCAGGUAUAGCAAAUAGCUAGCUUGCGUAUGCAUCCUAUAUUCAAAUAUAUUUAUACAUGUUUGUCUAUUAUGCCUGUUAUACAUAUCCAUAGAGAUUUUUAUAUAAUAACCUAUGAAUUAACACUAAGAUCAUACUUCAGUAACUCUGGUGUCAGAAUGAGACUGACUUUUAAAAUAAUGUUUAUCGGGGUGAAAAGAACUUUAUUAUUAUUUGAAUCUAGGUUUUAUUCCCUUUUUUCAUUGAACAGGGAUAUAGAAGUAGGUGCCUAUGAAUGCCCUGUCUGACAGUAAUUUGAAAGUCUUUAAGAGGGAACAAAGAAAAUGAUGAGGGAGAAUAUAAACUGGUCAAGUGGUGUUUGCAUACUCAAGUUUCUGAGAUGGAGUGUACAUAGCAGAGAGGUCACUUUGAGUAAGGGGAGAAAAACAUCCAGAUGUGUGAACACUUUGCUGAUAUCCUUAGUAUUUGAAAUGGGGGAAUUUAGUGACUUUGUAUUGAAUAAAAAGAAGAUAUACAUAUAUCUGAAAAUAGUUCAGCAUACAGUUUUCUGUUGCUAUUUAAUAAAAAUCUAAUAAUAUUUUAGAUGAUUUCUUCACUUCUAAGGCAGUUUUUCUCAUUUUGUAAUAAAUCAUGUUCUUUGUUGCUAAGUUCAUAAAAUUAAAUCUAAAAUAUUAUGGAGAGAUAAUUAUUUAAAAACAUCUGAAUAUUUUUCUUAAAGAUAUAUAACCAUCCUUUUCUAUUUCAAAUAUUUUAGAAAUGGUUAAUUUGGUUUUGUACAAAUUCUUCUCUUGGCUAAAGUUAGCAUGUUUUUCACAUGAAAAGUUAAUAAUUUAGAUGACAACAUUGAAAAUAAAGACCUCUUAAGGAAAGUGACCCAUGUAGGUUCCAUAGUACUUGCUCCUAAAAUUUUUUAAUACAUAUAUAUUUCCUUUGUGUUUGAGUGUACUAUUUUAAGAU
rnacentral:lncRNA from 1 species